ACCUGUGUUGCAGGAAACCAAUAAAUGGCGAAAUUCCAGUCCCUGGACCCACCAUCAUAAGAGGGACAGUCAGAUCUUCUGGGGUUUCUUCACUCCUUCACAAAAGACUGAGUCAGCUGCAGAAAGGUAAGAUCUUAUGAUUUAACAAUAUACAUUUACAGGUAUCAAGAGGCACUGUCAGACAUGGUGGGGAGGAACCAAAAAAA